AAUCCGGACACUAAAAACCACAAAACUCCAAACGACCCACACAAGCAAAACCUAGGAGGUUUUAUGUUUGCAAGACCCGGGGAUCCUCUGUGCCCAAUACAAAGUUUCAAGAAAUACAUCUCUAAAUUUCCCCCAGAUGCAAAAUCUUUUUAUCUGCAUCUGAGCAGCAGCUGAGGUUUGGUACUCCAGGGAACCGAUGGGUGUCAACUACCUGGGAGCAAUGCUAAAAAAAAUUAGUGAAGAGGUGGGUCUGUCGCAGAUUUACACAAACCACAGCCUGCGGAGCACGGCUGUGAGUCGACUCUCAGACGCCGGUCUGGAAUCACGCCAGAUCAUGUCUGUGCCGGGCACCGCUGUGAAAGCAGCCUGCAGGCUUACUGGGCUCCGUCACUCCAGGAGAGGAGAGAAUGGAGCAACAUUUUGUCGUCCCGCAACGUCGCCACAAGCAGUGGUCAGGGUCCACAAAAACUAAAUAUCGGUCCUUCGAACAGCAAUAUGAUGGACAUGCCAGUAUCUCUGUCAAAUUUUACGAUUAAUGGCCAUGUUGAAUUUAAUUUUAAAUAAAUAAUUCUGUCUUCCUAAAGCCGACUUUUUUGUUCGGUUCAAAGUUAACAGGCUCGAUGUAAAAUAACUUAUUAAUUAAUAAAACCGUUUUUGUUGUUGUUGUUGACAGCUAAUGUUCAGCUUUAUUGUUAGAGAUUUCUUAUAAUAAAAUCUUGGAAGCUA